ACAACUUGGAACCCUUCAUUAGCUAAAAGCUUUAAAUUAUGGACAGCUGAAGAAGUCCUGCCAUAUGGUACAGUAGACGGAGGAACUUAACGACAGCAUGUGUUUGUUACAGAUAAGGCUUAGCUUUGUUGGUGUGCCGUCUUAAAGAAACUCAGCAAUUUGCACCAACCAUCAGGAAGACACCCAUGAGGAAAAGUGCGGCGUUCACUUUGGAACUGUGAUGGCAUCCAUAGAGAUAUAAAACACUAUACAGAACAACACAGAGACACAUAAUAGAAGAGCUGAUGUUUCCCACUGGGUGUCUGUCUGCCAGCAAGAAGCUACUGCCAUGGUUACUCUGCGGCAGGUCUGCACAUCGCCUUCACAUGACUGCAUUUUCUGUUUGAUCUUGAGUAAACACCAUGGCCACUCCCCUCGUCUCCUAUCACCAGGUAUUUCUGGAUCCUCAUUGGCUACCUGCAGGCCCAGCUUGCAACACCUCCCGAGGGUUCAUUGACCUCCACUCCCUCUGUCUCUGUGAAACAACGUCGACUUGAAAGAAUCUGCAUAAAGUCAGCUGCAGUGACUAAUCUAGGUGGAUAAACACCCACCUGCAUUCUGAGGUAAUGCUUUGCACAGCUUGUCCUGGCUUCAUGAAGUCUGCACAUUCAGCACUUGCUGCUCCUCUUUCCGUUCUGUCCUCCAUCAAAAAAAAACAAAAGAAAAAAAACAAGCCAACAGACUUCUGCUCGAGUGUUUUAGCACAUUUAUGGAAACUUGGAGACUGGUGUUUUUUAUGCAAACAACAAGGUGAAGCUGUGAGGUGUGAUGUACAGUUCACACUUCAGGCUCCUCGCGGUUCAGCCAGAAGCUAUUUUGUACCAGGAUUCGCAUAGAAAUGUGAAACUGGGCCGUUCCCAUAAGGUCUGCGUAUUUACGCGCGCCAUGAGGCGGAGGUGGAGGUUAAACCUACACACCUGCAGCCUUUUUAUGGAAGCGAAAACAGCCUGCAGACAGUGCUAAGUUCAUACAUGACGGGGAAUUCUGAGUUGCGGUGAUGUUUACUGUUAGCUUGGCAACUUUUCAAAGCAUACAUGCAAAACUAGUAAAGCAACAUAGCAGUAAAGCAACAUAGCAGCGACAGCCGGAUUGUAGCGACUCGGCUUGCUCGCCAUUCUGAGAUGUUUGCAGAAAAACAGCUACAAGCUUUAAUAUAGCCCCAUAAUUCAUGGAUUCCUUUAAAUGUAUUUAGUUUUGAAGCCAUUUCACUGUAAAGUACUUUCAUUGACCCAUUUAUGAAUAAUGCCGUGCUAAUAAACGUGCCUCUACUUGCCAGGCCUACAGAUGGUGUUUCGGUUUAUGCUAUUCACUGCUUUUUACAGUGUUAAGCUGUCAUGAAAACAGUCACUCACAGAUUUAUCCUGCAGGACUUUUACCUGGUUCUUCUGUUCAAGAGGCUGAGCAGAUAUCUACUAUUUUUCUCUGCAAAAAAUAACCACGGGAUAAAAAUGUAACUUUUCAUUCUACGCUUUGUACAUGUGGUGGAAAACCGGAAUUACACAUUACAUAUAGCAAAUAAUUUCCGUGUAACCAUGGUGGUGGUGGCAGCAUCAUGCAGGCAUGCUUUUCCUCAGCAGGGACAGAGGCGAUGGGAAGAUGACGGGAGCUGAAUAUAUCCUGAAAGAAAAGCUACAAAAGACUUGAGACUGAAGUGGCAACAAAAAGCCAGAAUGAUCGACUCAUAUCGAUGUGUUCAAAGUCUAAACCAAAAUCUCGUUCAGCUUAAAAAUGUCUUUUCACAAACACUCUUAAUUUUGACAAAAGUGUAAAAGCUUAAAUGUGCAAAGUUGGUAGAGAUCUACUCCAAACGAAUUGCUGCUGUAACUGUUCUACAAAGUGUUGCCUGAAUGUUGAUGGUGAAUGAACCACAGUUCUUCAUUUUUUCUUACACUUUAGAAUUGUAUACUAUUUUAUCUUGGUCGAUCAUGUAAGCAAACAAUAACAUUCGCUGAAUUUUGUGGCUGUAAUGGGACAGAAUGUGAAAAACUUUAAGCAGAGUAAAUGUUUUUACAUGCAUUUACUCUAUUUAAGUACAUGUAAAAGUAUUUAUUUAUUCAUGUCCACGAAGGAUAGCUGCAUGGACUUUAUAUGGAAGAAAAGAUAAGAUCAUACACAAGUUUUAAUUUCAGUAACAAAAAAGAGAGGCAAAAAACCUUCAAAAUUAAAUUUUGUCCUUUUAUAUGAAAUAUUCCUUUUUUUUUCUUUUUUUUUUCUGUCAAAUUUUUUUGAACAGUAUGGAAUUGAUUGAAUCACAAUGAAAAGCCUUUAAAAAAAAUGUUUAAAUUAAACAAGCUAUUAUCAGAGGUUUUAUCCAUUUGUACGUCCGAUUCCAGAUGGGUCAGUGCCUCUCCGGUCAUGAACGUCACGCCGAUGUCACUGAUCUGUUUGGUAUUCAGACGAUGACACAGAAGUUUAUGGACUGGUGCCCAGGUGAACAUCCGUGUCAUUUCAUUUUAGGGUAACACCGUACCCUAAAGUGAAACAAACACUUUAAGAAUUAGAACAUCAUUUGGUGGAAUAUACAACAUAAUGAUCGCAAUCUGUGGGAAGCAGCUACCAGUCAUGACUAACCAACUAACAACCCAUUUCUGGACCAAAAGUCAAUCUGUAGCAAUAAAGGUUUUAGUACAACAUAAUUUGAUCAAUUGCUCAUUUUAGCACUGUAGAAAUAUUUACCCCUCUUAUUGUUUUCAGAUUACAUUUGUCACAUUCCUACCUCAGCCAUUUUCUAUUAGAAUUUUCUGAAACACCAGAAUAAAUGAAUGACGUAGAAGGACAUCAUGUGCCUUUAUCUACCAAAUACAAUCUGCCUGCGUGUAAUUGAGUCUCUGAAUAAAUAUCAUCUGCUUUGUUCAAACCUGUUGAAUGAGGCCAGUUUAAGAAUAUACUUUAUGGUUUACUUGCAAAACCCUUAACUUGGGGUGUGACCCUAAACACAUCAUCCUCAAGCAGGGGGAAACUUGGUGGAAGGAGCAUCCUGCUGUGGGAGUGUUUAGGAUGUUCCAAGAAGCUGAUCAAUCAGAGAUUGAUUUCUCUGAAUGCAGGGCGAUCCUGGAAAAUAGUUUUCCGAAAGGCGAUGCAAGCCUGUUUAAAAAUGGUCAGAAUACAUGACUGGUCUAAAUAACAUGGUGAGCUGACCUUAUUGCUUAACAAUGUCUUGAUUUAAUUUUAUUUUAGUAGUCGUACUAAAUGUCUUCUCAAACAAAAGGAGUUAAGUCAUCGGACUCGUAUACUAACCCAUAAAAGUAACUUUUAUUGACAUUUACAGCAUGACAAACACAUUUAUGUAAUGUAAGAGGGCCAUAUAAAAGCCCUGCCUAAAUGUGUAAUAAAAAGGUGACUGCUGCUUUCGCUGGUCAAAAAUAGUAAAAGAAUAUAAAUAUCAAAACAUUUUUUUUCUUGUAUAUCAGUUCAAGCUGAUCUGUU